GACGAACGCUGGCGGCGUGGAUUAGGCAUGCAAGUCGAACGGUAGGAUACCUUCGGGUAUCUGAGAGUGGCGAACGGGUGAGUAACACGUAGGUGAUCUACCCUCAAGAUUGGGACAACCCAGGGAAACUUGGGCUAAUACCGGAUGAAAGCAGCAGUGAUGUUGUUUGAAAGGUGCGUAAGCUGCCGUUUGGGGAUGAGCCUGCGCUCUAUUAGUUAGUUGGCGGGGUAAAGGCCCACCAAGGCGAUGAUAGAUAGGCGGCCUUAACGGGUGGUCGCCCACACUGGGAUUGAGAUACGGCCCAGACUCCUACGGGAGCAGCAGUCGAGAAUAGUCUACAAUGGCCGAAAGGCUGAUAGUGCGACGCCGCGUGAACGAAGAAGCCCUUCGGGGUGUAAAGUUCUUUUAUAUGUGAGCAGUGCUUUCUAUGUGAACAGCAUGGGGAAGAGAUAUUAGCAUAUAGAAUAAGCAACGGCUAACUCCGUGCC
rnacentral:rRNA from 1 species